AUAGAUAAAUUUUAUAUGGUUUAAUUAAAUUUAUUUUGUAUUUAUUUUACAUAUAAAUUUUAGUAUGAAUAAUUCUUUAUUUUAAUAAUAUUAAUUAUGUUUGUAGUAAUUAAUAUUAAGUAUUUAAGAAAUUAAGAUUUAGUAAUAUAUAAAUUAUUAACAAAUUUUGUGCCAGCAGUUGCGGUUAUACAAAAAUUAAAUUAAAUUUUUUUAGUAAUUAAUAAUUAAUUUAAAAGCUUGUUUAAAUUAAAAUUAAAAUUAUUAAGUGAAAUUUUAAUUUUAUAUUAUUUUAUUUUUAUUAGUAUGAUUUAAUAAAUUUUAUUAAUAAACUAGGAUUAGAUACCCUAUUAUUAAAAAUUUAAAUUUAUAAUACUAAAAUAGUAUGUAAUUUUAUUGAAACUUAAAUAUUUUGGCGGUAUUUUAGUUUAUUUAGAGGAAUCUGUUUAUUAAUUGAUAUUCCACGAAUAAAUUUACUUAAUUUAUUAUUUUGUAUAUCGUUGUUAAAAAAAUAUUUUUUAAUAAUUUAUAUAAUAUUUUAAUAUUAAUAUUUAAAAUUAAAUCAAAUCAAGAUGCAGAUUAUAAUUAAGAAUAUAAUGGAUUACAAUAAACUUAUUUAAAUGAAUUGUUAUUUUGUAAAAUUUAAUUGAAAGUGGAUUUAAAUGUAAUUUUGUUUAAUUUAAUAGAAUGAUUAAAAUUUAAAAUAUGUACAUAUUGCCCGUCGCUUUCAUAAAUAAAUUGGAAUAAGUCGUAACAAAGUAGAGGUACUGGAAAGUGUUUCUAGAAAGAU
rnacentral:ncRNA from 1 species